AGGGACUUAGGCUAAUUAGACCAAGGGCCUUCAAAGCCCUAAGCGGGAGUUAGACCCUCCCAGACCCUG
rnacentral:tRNA from 5 species